ACCUUCGGGCCUCUUGCCAUCAGAUGUGCCCAGAUGGGAUUAGCUAGUAGGUGGGGUAACGGCUCACCUAGGCGACGAUCCCUAGCUGGUCUGAGAGGAUGACCAGCCACACUGGAACUGAGACACGGUCCAGACUCCUACGGGAGGCAGCAGUGGGGAAUAUUGCACAAUGGGCGCAAGCCUGAUGCAGCCAUGCCGCGUGUAUGAAGAAGGCCUUCGGGUUGUAAAGUACUUUCAGCGGGGAGGAAGGUGUUGUGGUUAAUAACCACAGCAAUUGACGUUACCCGCAGAAGAAGCACCGGCUAACUCCGUGCCAGCAGCCGCGGUAAUACGGAGGGUGCAAGCGUUAAUCGGAAUUACUGGGCGUAAAGCGCACGCAGGCGGUCUGUCAAGUCGGAUGUGAAAUCCCCGGGCUCAACCUGGGAAC
rnacentral:rRNA from 1 species